CAGCCGCCACGGUAAUACAGAGGGUGCGAGCGUUAAUCGGAUUUACUGGGCGUAAAGCGUGCGUAGGCGGCUUCUUAAGUCGGAUGUGAAAUCCCUGAGCUUAACUUAGGAAUUGCAUUCGAUACUGGGAAGCUAGAGUAUGGGAGAGGAUGGUAGAAUUCCAGGUGUAGCGGUGAAAUGCGUAGAGAUCUGGAGGAAUACCGGUGGCGAAGGCGGCCCCCUGGACAAAGACUGACGCUCAGGUGCGAAAGCGUGGGGAGCAAACAGGAUUAGAUACCCCAGUAGUCCCUGUCUCUUAUAC
rnacentral:rRNA from 1 species